rnacentral:rRNA from 1 species
UACAGAGGUGGCAAGCGUUGUUCGGAAUUACUGGGCGUAAAGGGCGCGUAGGUGGCCUUCUUAGUCAGACGUGAAAUCCCCGGGCUUAACUCGGGAACUGCGUCUGAUACUGGAAGGCUGGAGUUCGGGAGAGGAAUGUGGAAUUCCAGGUGUAGCGGUGAAAUGCGUAGAUAUCUGGAGGAACACCGGUGGCGAAGGCGGCAUCCUGGACCGGUAUUGACGCUGAGGCGCGAAAGCUAGGGGAGCAAACGGG